rnacentral:rRNA from 1 species
GAUGAACGCUAGCGACAGGCUUAACACAUGCAAGUCGAGGGGCAGCAGGGGAGUAGCAAUACUCCCGCUGGCGACCGGCGCACGGGUGAGUAACACGUAUGCAACCUGCCCUUGUCAGGGGGAUAAGCGGAAGAAAUUCCGUCUAAUACCGCAUAAUGCUGCGGGGAGACAUCUCCCUGCAGCCAAAGAUUUAUCGGACAAGGAUGGGCAUGCGGCGCAUUAGCUGGUUGGCGGGGUAACGGCCCACCAAGGCGACGAUGCGUAGGGGUUCUGAGAGGAAGGUCCCCCACACUGGUACUGAGACACGGACCAGACUCCUACGGGAGGCAGCAGUGAGGAAUAUUGGUCAAUGGCCGGGAGGCUGAACCAGCCAAGUCGCGUGAGGGAAGACGGUCCUAUGGAUUGUAAACCUCUUUUGUCAGGGAGCAAAAACUGCCACGCGUGGCAGGAUGAGAGUACCUGAAGAAAAAGCAUCGGCUAACUCCGUGCCAGCAGCCGCGGUAAUACGGAGGAUGCGAGCGUUAUCCGGAUUUAUUGGGUUUAAAGGGUGCGUAGGCGGACAGUUAAGUCAGCGGUAAAAUUGAGAGGCUCAACCUCUUCCCGCCGUUGAAACUGAUUGUCUUGAGUGGGCGAGAAGUAUGCGGAAUGCGUGGUGUAGCGGUGAAAUGCAUAGAUAUCACGCAGAACUCCGAUUGCGAAGGCAGCAUACCGGCGCCCAACUGACGCUGAAGCACGAAAGCGUGGGUAUCGAACAGGAUUAGAUACCCUGGUAGUCCACGCAGUAAACGAUGAAUACUAAUUGUUCGGGUCAAAUGAGAUCUGAGUGAUACAGCGAAAGCGUUAAGUAUUCCACCUGGGGAGUACGCCGGCAACGGUGAAACUCAAAGGAAUUGACGGGGGCCCGCACAAGCGGAGGAACAUGUGGUUUAAUUCGAUGAUACGCGAGGAACCUUACCCGGGCUCAAACGACACAGGAAUGAUCUGAGAAAUCAGGCAGUCCUCCGGGACCUGUGUCGAGGUGCUGCAUGGUUGUCGUCAGCUCGUGCCGUGAGGUGUCGGCUUAAGUGCCAUAACGAGCGCAACCCCCAUCGACAGUUGCCAGCAGGUGAAGCUGGGCACUCUGUCGAGACUGCCGACGCAAGCUGUGAGGAAGGCGGGGAUGACGUCAAAUCAGCACGGCCCUUACGUCCGGGGCGACACACGUGUUACAAUGGCAGGUACAGCGGGAAGCCACCUGGCGACAGGGAGCGGAACCCGAAAGCCUGUCUCAGUUCGGAUUGGAGUCUGCAACUCGACUCCAUGAAGCUGGAUUCGCUAGUAAUCGCGCAUCAGCCACGGCGCGGUGAAUACGUUCCCGGGCCU